rnacentral:rRNA from 1 species
AACGAACGCUGGCGGCAUGCCUAACACAUGCAAGUCGAACGAGACCUUCGGGUCUAGUGGCGCACGGGUGCGUAACGCGUGGGAACCUGCCCUUAGGUUCGGAAUAACUCCCCGAAAGGGGUGCUAAUACCGGAUAAUGUCUUCGGACCAAAGAUUUAUCGCCUUUGGAUGGGCCCGCGUUGGAUUAGCUAGUUGGUAGGGUAAAAGCCUACCAAGGCGACGAUCCAUAGCUGGUCUGAGAGGAUGAUCAGCCACACUGGGACUGAGACACGGCCCAGACUCCUACGGGAGGCAGCAGUGGGGAAUAGUGGACAAUGGGCGAAAGCCUGAUCCAGCAAGGCCGCGUGAGUGAUGAAGGCCUUAGGGUUGUAAAGCUCUUUUAACCGGGAUGAUAAUGACAGUACCGGGAGAAUAAGCGCCGGCUAACUCCGUG